GGAGGAAGGUGCGGAUGACGUCAAGUCAGCAUGACCUUUAUAUCCAGGGCUACACACACGCUACAAUGGACAGUACAACAGGUUGCCAAGGCCGCGAGGCGGAGCCAAUCCUCUAAAGCUGUCCUCAGUUCAGAUUGCAGGCUGCAACUCGCCUGCAUGAAGUUGGAGUUGCUAGUAACCGCAGGUCAGCUAUACUGCGGUGAAUACGUUCCCGGGGAUU
rnacentral:rRNA from 1 species